GGGAUAAGCUUUAAAUUAAAUUUUUAUAAUAUUAAAUUUUUAUUUUGAAAAUUUUAUAAUUUAUAUUGUUAAUAAAUUUUAUUUUGUUAUAAAUAAUUUCAUUUUUUUUAAAAUUUAAAUUUUAUUUAAUUUUUUAUAUAAAACUUAUUUAUAAUUAUAUAAAGUUAAUUAUAAUGAUAAAAUUAGUAUAUUAUUUAAUAUUAAAUUAAAAUUAAUUUUUGAUUAAUAACUAAAUUAAUUAAAAGGAAUUCGGCAAAUAUUUAUUUUCACUUGUUUAUCAAAAACAUGUCUUUUUGUUAUUUAAUUUAAAGUCUAAUCUGCCCACUGAUUUAUAAAAAUUGAAGGGCUGCAGUAUAUUGACUGUACAAAGGUAGCAUAAUCAUUAGUCUCUUAAUUGGUGACUUGUAUGAAAGAUUGGAUGAAAAAUAUACUGUCUCUUAGUUAAUAUGUAGAAUUUAAUUUUUUAUUUAAAAAGUUAAAAUAAUUUAAAAAGACGAGAAGACCCUAUAGAGUUUAAUAAAUUAUUUUAUGAAAGUUUUAUUUAUAUUUACUAAUAAUUUUAUAAAUUUAUUUAUUUUGUUGGGGUGAUAAAAAAAUAAAUUUAACUUUUUUUAAGUAAUUUACAUGAAUAAGUGAUUAAU
rnacentral:rRNA from 1 species